rnacentral:RNase_P_RNA from 1 species
CAGGACAUGCAGUCGCCGCCGGUUUCAUACCGGCGGAGGAAAGUCCGGGCUUCACAGGGCAGGAUGCCGGAUAACGUCCGGUGGAGGCAACUCCAAGGCAGGUGCAACAGAAAUAAACCGCCCGCGGUCCGCGGGUAAGGGUGGAAAGGCAGUGCAAGAGACUACCGCCCGGCCGGCAACGUCCGGGGCACAUGUAAACCCCAUCUGAAGCAAGGCAAUGCAAAGCAUAUACGGUGGCCCGCCGUGCUUUGCGGUGGCCGCAGUGAGCCUUCCGGUGACGGAAGGCCAAGAUAGAUGACUGCACGCGACAGAACCCGGCUUACCGUCCUGCCUG